CCUACGGGAGGCAGCAGUAGGGAAUCUUCCACAAUGGGCGCAAGCCUGAUGGAGCAACACCGCGUGAGUGAAGAAGGGUUUCGGCUCGUAAAGCUCUGUUGUUGGAGAAGAACGUGCGUGAGAGUAACUGUUCACGCAGUGACGGUAUCCAACCAGAAAGUCACGGCUAACUACGUGCCAGCAGCCGCGGUAAUACGUAGGUGGCAAGCGUUAUCCGGAUUUAUUGGGCGGAAAGCGAGCGCAGGCGGUUGCUUAGGUCUGAUGUGAAAGCCUUCGGCUUAACCGAAGAAGUGCAUCGGAAACCGGGCAACUUGAGUGCAGAAGAGGACAGUGGAACUCCAUGUGUAGCGGUGGAAUGCGUAGAUAUAUGGAAGAACACCAGUGGCGAAGGCGGCUGUCUGGUCUGCAACUGACGCUGAGGCUCGAAAGCAUGGGUAGCGAACAGGAUUAGAUACCCCAGUAGUC
rnacentral:rRNA from 1 species